UCUGCAACUUUUGUCCCACUCUUCCCCUCCCAGAAUGGAACCGUCCCCGAAGCAGUAACAUCCGGCAGUCGGCACACCGGCAUUUACCGCACCUCCCUCCGGCGUCAUAAAAUCGCACCUCCCUCCGGUGUCAAUCGAGAGGACUCAGAGAAAAGACCGCUCUGUCACACUCAAUCAGUCGUCGAGCCCACUAACUUGACGAAGUUAGAUCCGAUAAAACUUUAGAG
rnacentral:lncRNA from 1 species